rnacentral:rRNA from 1 species
GAGUUUGUCCUGGCUCAGGACGAACGCUGGCGGCGUGCUUAACACAUGCAAGUCACGGGGGCCCGCAAGGGCAACCGGCGAACGGGUGCGUAACACGUGAGCAAUCUGCCGAUUUCUGGGGGAUAGCCGGCCCAAACGGCCGGGUAAUACCGCAUACGCUUCUUGGGGGACAUCCCCUGGAGAACCUCCGGGGAAUCGAGGAGCUCGCGGCCUAUCAGCUAGUUGGUGUGGGUAAUGGCCCACCAAGGCGACGACGGGUAGCUGGGUCUGAGAGGAUGGCCAGCCACAUUGGGACUGAGACACGGCCCAGACUCCUACGGGAGGCAGCAGUGGGGAAUUUUUCGCAAUGGGGGAAACCCUGACGAAGCAACGCCGCGUGGAGGA